rnacentral:rRNA from 1 species
GACGAACGCUGGCGGCGUGCUUAACACAUGCAAGUCGAACGGAAAGGCCCUGCUUUUGUGGGGUGCUCGAGUGGCGAACGGGUGAGUAACACGUGAGUAACCUGCCCUUGACUUUGGGAUAACUUCAGGAAACUGGGGCUAAUACCGGAUAGGAGCUCCUGCUGCAUGGUGGGGGUUGGAAAGUUUCGGCGGUUGGGGAUGGACUCGCGGCUUAUCAGCUUGUUGGUGGGGUAGUGGCUUACCAAGGCUUUGACGGGUAGCCGGCCUGAGAGGGUGACCGGCCACAGUGGCACAGGGGUGGGGGCAGGAGGCAAACGGGAGGAAGGAGUGGAGAAUAUUGCCAAAUGGGCGGAGGGCGGAUGGAGGACCGUCGGGUGGGGAAUCACGGCUUUCGGGGAGUAAAACGUUUUGGCGUGUGACGAAGCGUGAGUGCGGGAAAUGGGGAAAGAGGCACGGGUUACUUCGGG